rnacentral:tRNA from 1 species
GGGCAGGUACCCAAGUGGCCAAAGGGGACUGACUGUAAAUCAGUUGGCAUACGCCUUCGGGGGUUCGAAUCCUCCCCUGCCCA